UAGUUGUUGUUUGGUGGUAAUGUUGUAGUUGUUGUUGUUGUUGUAUGUGAUGCUUUCUACUGUCUUCUUCUUUAUCUGGGUUGCUGAUGAUAGAAGAUAAAGAAUCUGAGUUGCCACGAACAAGUUGAUCUACUGUGGGCUUCUGGUCCUCCCCAAUACGAUGCUGAGAAAUCUGGUUGUUGUUGUUGUUGUUGUUGUGGAGCCCUGUAAGUACCCCAUCUGAUGAGGACCCAACAUUGUCUGGUUGUUCCUCUUUGGUUUCUUCCAAGUAAAUCUCCUCCACCAUGGGUUUCCAUAGCCUCACCCUUGCAUUGAUGAACCAAUUUGAAACCUGAAGUGGCAAAUGGAAACAUAUAUUAUAAUUAGUUUUGUUAAAGCCUAAGAAGAUAGGAAGAUAUGCCCUAUGGAACAGAUGAGAGAACCUAGUCCCACAGGAAUCAAAU